CUGUCUGGUCAUGAAGUCCUAGCCUUGCUCCCUCCUUUAUUCCCACUCUGCUCUUCUCCAGGCUCUUCAAGACAUUCUGUCUAUUUGUUCCUCUGUAUUCUUCUGCGUUAUUAGUAGCUUCUUGACUUCACGUUUCUCGCUAGUUAAUCUAGAUCCCAUUAUCAUCAUUUCAGCCACUCUCGCCAGUACCUUCUACUCUCUUACCCUUUGUCCUUCUGCCACACCACACUACAAAACCCAAGCCCAGAUCAUCCCACCAGUCUCCUCCUGUGCCCUGGCGUGUAAGUGCCUCUGGAGGGAAUUCACAACCACCAAGUGUCCAGUGUCAGCUGGGCCCUAAGCGGUGCCUGGAGGGCUCUGUCUUCUUUCAUCUUGGGUUGUGCUAUUUCUAUAUUGUAAUCUUUGUAACUCUGCUCUAUUCUGACCCUACCCCUGCUCCCUUUUCACCCUCUCACUUGGAGGGUAGCCUCACCUAUCUUUUCUCACCCCGAGUUGAUUAUGGAGGCAAGCUUAAGGUCUGUUUCCACCUCCACGUUUACCAGCAUCUUUUCUUACCUGACUUGGGAGGAGAAGGUGUUCCUCCUCUUGUACAGGCUCAAUCUUCCACUGACCAACCCUACUUUCUUAGCACUGGCUACUAGGCUAUAAACUUUACUUUUCAUUUUCUCCCUCCCUCUACCCCCAGUAUAAAUCUCUAAGGCCACAGGGAUUUUACUUCCAUUUCAUUUGCUGCAGACAUGAGGUGUGAGAGUAAGAAAGCAAUUGUGCAUAAUUCCAAGAUUUUUGGCCCAAGCACUAGAAGCUUGGAGCUGCCCGUAACUGAGCUGAGGAAGGUCGUUAACGGAGCAGGUUUGGAGGGGAAGGUCAGAAAUUCAGUUCUGGACAUGUUAGCAUGUUAGACAUCCGAGUGGAGAUGUUGAGUAGGCAGUAGGAUGUACAGGUUUCAGAGAGGAGGGCCAGGGUGUAGGGGUAAAUAUAGGUGUUAUCGGCAUAAAGAUGACGUUCAAAUCCAUGAGAUGAGAUGAGAGCCACAAGAAGAGUGUGGAAAAUGAAGAGAAGGAGUCCAAGAACUGAGCCCUGGGACACUCCAAAGCUAAGAAGUCAGGAAGAUGAAGAAAACUAUCCAGGAGAUUGGAAGGAAGAGGCCUGUACUAUAAUAAGAAGGAAAACCAGAGUGUAGUGCCCUGGGAUCCAAGUGAAGAAAGUGUUACAACGAAGGAAGAGGGAGCAACUGUGUCCAGUGUUGCUGAACCAGGGGCCACAUGGAGACAGAGACUGAGGAUGACCUCCAGAGCCCAGCUCCCCUCGGUGUUUCUCCUCCUUGGACUGCUCUGUGGGAGCAGUACCCAGGCCCAGUACAUCCUG
rnacentral:lncRNA from 1 species